UGUGUCUGUUUAGUAAAAACUAAUCCAUGCAUUUGUUACUUCAAGGCUGGAUUACUGCAACUCUUUAUUAUCAGGUUGCCCCAAUAAGUCCAUUAAAACGCUCCAAUUAAUUCAGAACGCUGCAGCACGAGUACUGACAGGAACUAGAAAAAGAGAUCACAUCUCUCCUGUACUAGCUACUCUGCAUUGGCUCCCUAUAAAAUGUAGAAUUGAAUUUAAAAUACUCCUCCUCACCUAUAAAGCUCUUCAUGGUCAGGCCCCUUCAUAUCUUAAAGAGCUCAUAGUACCCUAUUACCCCACUAGAACACUACGUUCUCUGAAUGCUGGGCUACUUGUGGUUCCUAUAGUCUCUAAAAGUAGAACAGGAGCCAGAGCCUUCAGUUACCAAGCUCCUCUCCUGUGGAACCAGCUUCCAGUUGUGGUUCGGGAGGCAGACACCCUCACCACUUUCAAGAGUAGGCUUAAGACAUUCCUCUUUGAUAAAGCUUAUAGUUAGGGCUGGAUCAGGUGAGUCCUGAACCAUCCCUUAGUUAUGCUGCUAUAGGCCUAGACUAUCGGGGGGAUUUCCCAUGGUGCACUGAGCUCCUCUCUUCCUCUCUCUUUCUGCACUCAUUCAUGUCCCUUUAAUGCAUGUUACUAACUCCACUUCUUCCCCGGAGUUCUUGUGCUUUCUCGUCUCGCAGGUUCUCAUGGAUCCUGGUGGAGCCUCCUGCCAUGGUCCUGCUUGACUGCCAUUGCCAAUACUGUUGUUGCUGUGCACCUGUCUGUCUGUCUGUCGCUCUCUCUCUCUCUCUCUCUCUCUCUCUCUCUCUCUCUCUCACCCCAACUGGUCGAGACAGACGACCACCCACCUAGAGCCGGAGGAUCUGUCCUAGGUUUCUGCCUUUUAACAGGCAGUGUUUCCUUGCCCUUGUCUCCAAGGUCUUGCUCAUGGUGGUACUGUUGGGUCUCUGUAAUUAAUGUUAAAGAGUUCGGUCUAGACCUGCUCUAUUUGAAAAGUGUCCUGAGAUAACUUCUGUUAUGAAUUGGCGCUAUACAAAUAAAAUUGAAUUGAAUUG